rnacentral:rRNA from 1 species
CAUCCUACGGGGGGCAGCAGUGGGGAAUAUUGCACAAUGGGGGAAACCCUGAUGCAGCGACGCCGCGUGAGUGAAGAAGUAUUUCGGUACGUAAAGCUCUAUCAGCAGGGAAGAAAUAAAGUCCUUUGGACUUUGGACGGUACCUGACUAAGAAGCCCCGGCUAACUACGUGCCAGCAGCCGCGGUAAUACGUAGGGGGCAAGCGUUAUCCGGAUUGAUUGGGCGUAAAGGGUGCGUAGGCGGCCUGCUCAGUCUGGAGUGAAAGGUACCGGCUCAACCGGUACAGGCUCUGGAAA